UACGUAGGCAGCAAGCGUUGUUCGGAGUUACUGGGCGUAAAGGGUGCGUAGGCGGCCCUGUAAGUAUGGUGUGAAAUCUCCCGGCUUAACUGGGGGGGGUGCGCUAUAGACUGCGGGGCUCGAGUGUGGGAGAGGAAAGUGGAAUUCCUGGUGUAGCGGUGAAAUGCGUAGAUAUCAGGAGGAACACCGGUGGUGUAAACGGCUUUCUGGACCAUAACUGACGCUGAGGCACGAAAGCGUGGGUAGCAAACAGG
rnacentral:rRNA from 1 species